CGAAUUUUAAAAUCAAUUCCGAUAGUUGUGAUGAAGCUUGUGGUGAAGGAACCAUCAGAGAAACGUAAAAGAAGACAACUCUUACCAACACCACUAUCGCCGAUCAAAAGAAGCUUAAUGAGAUAAUCAUAGUCUGCUCUAGCCCUUGCCGGUGGUGCGGCCAUUGAAGGAUCAACAAAAGCUCCUAAAAGUGUUUUCCUUGAAUAAAUUCGUAUAUACUCUCGAUUCACAAAUUUAAAAUGAAAAACAAAAACUGCAGAUAACCAAAAUCUACACAACGAAUCUAAUCAAUGAUUUUCUUCAGAGAGAAGAGAGAAAGGGGAUACCAAAUAGGUUCAGG
rnacentral:misc_RNA from 1 species